rnacentral:rRNA from 1 species
CAGUAGCCACGGGAAUACGGAGGGGGCUAGCGUUGUUCGGAAUUACUGGGCGUAAAGCGCACGUAGGCGGCUUGGUAAGUUAGAGGUGAAAGCCUGGAGCUCAACUCCAGAAUUGCCUUUAAGACUGCCGAGCUAGCAGGUGAGAGAGGUAAGUGGAAUUCCGAGUGUAGAGGUGAAAUUCGUAGAUAUUCGGAAGAACACCAGUGGCGAAGGCGGCUUACUGGCUCAUACUGGACGCUGAGGUGCGAAAGCGUGGGGAGCAAACAGGAUUAGAUACCCGAGUAGUCCCUGUCUCUUAUAC